rnacentral:rRNA from 1 species
GACGAACCGUGCGAACGUUGUUCGGAAUCACUGGGCUUAAAGGGUGCGUAGGCGGGUUGUCCAGUCUGGGGUGAAAUCCCACGGCUCAACCGUGGAAUUGCCUCAGAUACUGAAGACCUCGAGGGAGGUAGGGGCGAGCGGAACUGUGGGUGGAGCGGUGAAAUGCGUUGAGAUCCACAGGAACUCCGGUGGCGAAGGCGGCUCGCUGGACCUCUUCUGACGCUGAGGCACGAAAGAUAGGGGAGCAUACGGG